GACAGAGGUGCCGAGCGUUAGGCGGAAUCACUGGGCUUAAAGCGUGUGUAGGCGGGUCCGUAAGUACCUUGUGAAAUCCCACGGCUCAACCGUGGAACUGCUUGGUAUACUGCGGGUCUUGAGCCACUUAGGGGCAAGCGGAACAAACGGUGGAGCGGUGAAAUGCGUAGAUAUCAUUUGGAACGCCAAUGGUGAAAACAGGCAGCUGGGAGUGUGCUGACGCUGAGACACGAAAGCCAGGGGAGCGAACGGG
rnacentral:rRNA from 1 species